GCAUGGUAACUUGGUUGGUAGAGCAUGCGACUCGUAACCUCAGGGUCAUGGGUUCGAGCCCCAUGUUGGGCA